rnacentral:lncRNA from 1 species
ACAACUUGAGNAGGUUUUGUGCAGCUGAACCCAAAAUUAUUGGGAACAAGGCUUAGUUUGUUGUUGUUGUAAUUGCACUUGCCUCAACUUGACAUAUGAAGUAGGCUAAAGUCUUGAUUGUGGAUCCUCAAAAAAUGCAGAGUAGACUGGCUUUUAAUUAGCAUUACUGUUAUGAAAUUUCUUGAAAAACACAAAACAUUGCUGUGCCAUUAGCUCCAUCCUUCUGAAAGUGCCAAAAUUAUCUUUAAUGUCAAAUGAUUUUCCUUGCAACGCAGAUUAGGUUAAAUGUAAUUUGAAGAAUUUCAUGUUCAUCUAUUAACUGAUCAUUUGUCAAGGCAAAGUUGCUAGCUCUAUUUUGAUUGGAAAUUAUCAUUUGCCUUGGCCUUGCCUUGAUGAUUAUAGAAAUCAUUAUUUAAAUUAGAUGAGUAGUUUAGACAUUUUGUAACUUGAUUGAGACAGACUGCUUACUAUUUCAAGACAAGGAAUUAUUUAAUAUGAAUUGAACACUUCAAUCUCUAUCUUAUUUGAAUAAUAUUAGCAUAAUAUUCUUGUCACUCAUCCAACACUUAAAUGGACAAUAAAUGUAGCCUAUAUAUGUCAUAUUUGUGUGUUUGACGUGCAAUCACUAAUUAAGUUGAAAAGCAUGGUAUAAAAUUGUAGUUUCUUCGUAUUAGAGGCAACAGGGUUCUUUUGACGCGAUUUUUAAGAAGAAAAAAAAGUAACUAAGAAAUUGCUUCUGAAUUGUUUGGAUAAUUGUUUGAUAAUGCUUUGUUUGAGUAGAAUUUUUUUUAGAGAAAAUAGACAUGAAAUACCUUUAUCAGAAAGCAAUUUAUACAAGAAGUAGAAGCGAAAAAAUAACUCUACCAAACAAACCCUUGAUAGGCUAAGAGGGAAUAUUUUUACCUUGUGAUUAUGUUUCUUUUUCUGCUCUCUUUCCCUUGUCAUUGACAUACAACUCAGAGCUUUUUACUUCCCAUUUUUCUGUAUUAUUAUUGCCUUAUAUGUGUAGAUCUUUACGGGUACACACAAUUUAUAGUUAAAUUAUUUUAUUUCCAUUUAUUAAAGUUGAAUGUCUUUUGGGCCAAACUAAGAAGGUUAUAGAAACCAAAAAUUAAGAUAGAUACAAUUUUGAAAAAAAGAUAAUAUAUAUAUAUAUAUUUGUACAUUACUAAUUUUCUCAGACUUAUGUAAGGAAAUUCGUGAUUAGAACUCAAUCAAAUGUCGG